rnacentral:rRNA from 1 species
AUUGAACGCUGGCGGCAGGCCUAACACAUGCAAGUCGAACGAGUGGCGGACGGGUGAGUAAUGUCUGGGAAACUGCCCGAUGGAGGGGGAUAACUACUGGAAACGGUAGCUAAUACCGCAUACCAUCGGAUGUGCCCAGAUGGGAUUAGCUUGUAGGUGAGGUAACGGCUCACCUAGGCGACGAUCCCUAGCUGGUCUGAGAGGAUGACCAGCCACACGGGACCUGAGACACGGUCCAGACUCCUACGUGAGGCAGGAGGGGGGAAGAUUGCACAAUGGGGGCAAGCCUGAUGCAGCCAGGCCGCGUGUAUGAAGAAGGACUGCGGGUUGUAAAGUACUUUCAACGGGGAGGCGUUACCCGCAGAAGAAGCACCGGCUAACUCCGUGCCAGCGGCCGCGGUAAUAC